rnacentral:rRNA from 1 species
AGCGCAUACGGUGGAUGCCUUGGCAGUCAGAGGCGAUGAAAGACGUGGUAGCCUGCGAAAAGCUUCGGGGAGUCGGCAAACAGACUUUGAUCCGGAGAUCUCUGAAUGGGGGAACCCACCUAGGAUAACCUAGGUAUCUUGUACUGAAUCCAUAGGUGCAAGAGGCGAACCAGGGGAACUGAAACAUCUAAGUACCCUGAGGAAAAGAAAUCAACCGAGAUUCCCUUAGUAGUGGCGAGCGAACGGGGAUUAGCCCUUAAGCUUCAUUGAUUUUAGCGGAACGCUCUGGAAAGUGCGGCCAUAGUGGGUGAUAGCCCCGUACGCGAAAGGAUCUUUGAAGUGAAAUCGAGUAGGACGGAGCACGAGAAACUUUGUCUGAACAUGGGGGGACCAUCCUCCAAGGCUAAAUACUACUGACUGACCGAUAGUGAACCAGUACCGUGAGGGAAAGGCGAAAAGAACCCCGGAGAGGGGAGUGAAAUAGAACCUGAAACCGUAUGCGUACAAGCAGUGGGAGCCUACUUGUUAGGUGACUGCGUACCUUUUGUAUAAUGGGUCAGCGACUUAUAUUCAGUGGCAAGCUUAACCGUAUAGGGUAGGCGUAGCGAAAGCGAGUCUUAAUAGGGCGUUUAGUCGCUGGGUAUAGACCCGAAACCGGGCGAUCUAUCCAUGAGCAGGUUGAAGGUUAGGUAACACUGACUGGAGGACCGAACCCACUCCCGUUGAAAAGGUAGGGGAUGACUUGUGGAUCGGAGUGAAAGGCUAAUCAAGCUCGGAGAUAGCUGGUUCUCCUCGAAAGCUAUUUAGGUAGCGCCUCAUGUAUCACUCUGGGGGGUAGAGCACUGUUUCGGCUAGGGGGUCAUCCCGACUUACCAAACCGAUGCAAACUCCGAAUACCCAGAAGUGCCGAGCAUGGGAGACACACGGCGGGUGCUAACGUCCGUCGUGAAAAGGGAAACAACCCAGACCGCCAGCUAAGGUCCCAAAGUUGUGGUUAAGUGGUAAACGAUGUGGGAAGGCUUAGACAGCUAGGAGGUUGGCUUAGAAGCAGCCAUCCUUUAAAGAAAGCGUAAUAGCUCACUAGUCGAGUCGGCCUGCGCGGAAGAUGUAACGGGGCUCAAACCACACACCGAAGCUGCGGGUGUCACGUAAGUGACGCGGUAGAGGAGCGUUCUGUAAGCCUGUGAAGGUGAGUUGAGAAGCUUGCUGGAGGUAUCAGAAGUGCGAAUGCUGACAUGAGUAACGACAAUGGGUGUGAAAAACACCCACGCCGAAAGACCAAGGGUUCCUGCGCAACGUUAAUCGACGCAGGGUUAGUCGGUUCCUAAGGCGAGGCUGAAAAGCGUAGUCGAUGGGAAACAGGUUAAUAUUCCUGUACUUCUGGUUACUGCGAUGGAGGGACGGAGAAGGCUAGGCCAGCUUGGCGUUGGUUGUCCAAGUUUAAGGUGGUAGGCUGAAAUCUUAGGUAAAUCCGGGGUUUCAAGGCCGAGAGCUGAUGACGAGUCGUCUUUUAGAUGACGAAGUGGUUGAUGCCAUGCUUCCAAGAAAAGCUUCUAAGCUUCAGGUAACCAGGAACCGUACCCCAAACCGACACAGGUGGUCGGGUAGAGAAUACCAAGGCGCUUGAGAGAACUCGGGUGAAGGAACUAGGCAAAAUGGCACCGUAACUUCGGGAGAAGGUGCGCCGGCUAGGGUGAAGGAUUUACUCCGUAAGCUCUGGCUGGUCGAAGAUACCAGGCCGCUGCGACUGUUUAUUAAAAACACAGCACUCUGCAAACACGAAAGUGGACGUAUAGGGUGUGACGCCUGCCCGGUGCCGGAAGGUUAAUUGAUGGGGUUAGCGCAAGCGAAGCUCUUGAUCGAAGCCCCGGUAAACGGCGGCCGUAACUAUAACGGUCCUAAGGUAGCGAAAUUCCUUGUCGGGUAAGUUCCGACCUGCACGAAUGGCGUAACGAUGGCGGCGCUGUCUCCACCCGAGACUCAGUGAAAUUGAAAUCGCUGUGAAGAUGCAGUGUAUCCGCGGCUAGACGGAAAGACCCCGUGAACCUUUACUGUAGCUUUGCACUGGACUUUGAGCCUGCUUGUGUAGGAUAGGUGGGAGGCUUUGAAGCGUGGACGCCAGUUCGCGUGGAGCCAUCCUUGAAAUACCACCCUGGCAUGCUUGAGGUUCUAACUCUGGUCCGU